rnacentral:rRNA from 1 species
UUUAACGAGAGUUUGAUCCUGGCUCAGAAUCAACGCUGGCGGCGUGCCUCAGACAUGCAAGUCGAACGAUUAAAGCUCCCUUCGGGGAGUGCAUAGAGUGGCGCACGGGUGAGUAACACGUAAGUAAUCUACCUUCGGAUGGGGAAUAACAGUCGGAAACGACUGCUAAUACCGCAUAAUGCAGCGGCACCUAAUGGUGACAGUUGUUAAAGUAUUUAU